rnacentral:rRNA from 1 species
UAGGGAAUCUUCCGCAAUGGGCGAAAGCUUGACGGAGCAACGCCGCGUGAGUGAUGAAGGUCUUCGGAUCGUAAAACUCUGUUAUUAGGGAAGAACAAAUGUGUAAGUAACUAUGCACGUCUUGACGGUACCUAAUCAGAAAGCCACGGCUAACUACGUGCCAGCAGCCGCGGUAAUACGUAGGUGGCAAGCGUUAUCCGGAAUUAUUGGGCGUAAAGCGCGCGUAGGCGGUUUUUUAAGUCUGAUGUGAAAGCCCACGGCUCAACCGUGGAGGGUCAUUGGAAACUGGAAAACGUGAGUGCAGAAGAGGAAAGUGGAAUUCCAUGUGUAGCGGUGAAAUGCGCAGAGAUAUGGAGGAACACCAGUGGCGAAGGCGACUUUCUGGUCUGUAACUGACGCUGAUGUGCGAAAGCGUGGGGAUCAAACAGG